rnacentral:rRNA from 1 species
AUAUAACUAGGCGGAGGAAAAGAAACUAACCAGGAUUCCCUCAGUAACUGCGAGUGAAGCGGGAAAAGCUCAGACUGAAAAUCUUCGGAAUUGUAGUCUGGAGAAGUAUGGUCAGCCGAUGGUGAUAAGUGAAGUCUUCUGGAAAGGAGCGCCUUGGAGGGUGAUAGCCCCGUUCAUACUUAUUACUAGAAGCGUACGACCUGCUUCUACGAGUCGUGUUGUUUGGGACUGCAGCACUAAUGGGAGGUAAAUUUCUUCUAAAGCUAAAUAUUGGCCAGAGACCGAUAGCGCACAAGUA